rnacentral:rRNA from 1 species
UAGUCCACGCCGUAAACGAUGGUCACUAGCUGUUCGGACUUCGGUCUGAGUGGCUAAGCGAAAGUGAUAAGUGACCCACCUGGGGAGUACGUUCGCAAGAAUGAAACUCAAAGGAAUUGACGGGGGCCCGCACAAGCGGUGGAGCAUGUGGUUUAAUUCGAUGAUACGCGAGGAACCUUACCAGGGCUUAAAUGUAGAUUGAUAGGUUUAGAGAUAGACUUUUCUUCGGACAAUUUACAAGGUGCUGCAUGGUUGUCGUCAGCUCGUGCCGUGAGGUGUCAGGUUAAGUCCUAUAACGAGCGCAACCCCUAUCGUUAGUUGCUAGCAGGUAAUGCUGAGGACUCUAGCGAGACUGCCGGUGCAAACCGUGAGGAAGGUGGGGAUGACGUCAAAUCAUCACGGCCCUUACGUCCUGGGCUACACACGUGCUACAAUGGUAUGGACAAUGAGCAGCCACUAUGCGAAUAGGAGCGAAUCUAUAAACCAUAUCACAGUUCGG